rnacentral:rRNA from 1 species
GACGAACGCUGGCGGCGUGCUUAACACAUGCAAGUCGAACGGAAAGGCCCUGCUUUUGUGGGGUGCUCGAGUGGCGAACGGGUGAGUAACACGUGAGUAACCUGCCCUUGACUUUGGGAUAACUUCAGGAAACUGGGGCUAAUACCGGAUAGGAGCUCCUGCUGCAUGGUGGGGGUUGGAAAGUUUCGGCGGUUGGGGAUGGACUCGCGGCUUAUCAGCUUGUUGGUGGGGUAGUGGCUUACCAAGGCUUUGACGGGUAGCCGGCCUGAGAGGGUGGCCGGCCACAUUGGGACUGAGAUACGGCCCAGACUCCUACGGGGGGCAGCAGUGGGGAAUAUUGCACAAUGGGCGGAAGCCUGAUGCAGCAACGCCGCGUGCGGGAUGACGGCCUUCGGGUUGUAAACCGCUUUCGCCUGUGACGAAGCGUGAGUGACGGUAAUGGGUAAAGAAGCACCGGCUAACUACGUGCCAGCAGCCGCGGUGAUACGUAGGGUGCGAGCGUUGUCCGGAUUUAUUGGGCGUAAAGGGCUCGUAGGUGGUUGAUCGCGUCGGAAGUGUAAUCUUGGGGCUUAACCCUGAGCGUGCUUUCGAUACGGGUUGACUUGAGGAAGGUAGGGGAGAAUGGAAUUCCUGGUGGAGCGGUGGAAUGCGCAGAUAUCAGGAGGAACACCAGUGGCGAAGGCGGUUCUCUGGGCCUUUCCUGACGCUGAGGAGCGAAAGCGUGGGGAGCGAACAGGCUUAGAUACCCUGGUAGUCCACGCUGUAAACGGUGGGUACUAGGUGUGGGGUCCAUUCCACGGGUUCCGUGCCGUAGCUAACGCUUUAAGUACCCCGCCUGGGGAGUACGGCCGCAAGGCUAAAACUCAAAGGAAUUGACGGGGCCCCGCACAAGCGGCGGAGCAUGCGGAUUAAUUCGAUGCAACGCGUAGAACCUUACCUGGGUUUGACAUGGAUCGGGAGCGCUCAGAGAUGGGUGUGCCUCUUUUGGGGUCGGUUCACAGGUGGUGCAUGGCUGUCGUCAGCUCGUGUCGUGAGAUGUUGGGUUAAGUCCCGCAACGAGCGCAACCCUUGUUCACUGUUGCCAGCACGUUAUGGUGGGGACUCAGUGGAGACCGCCGGGGUCAACUCGGAGGAAGGUGGGGAUGACGUCAAGUCAUCAUGCCCCUUAUGUCCAGGGCUUCACGCAUGCUACAAUGGCUGGUACAGAGAGUGGCGAGCCUGUGAGGGUGAGCGAAUCUCGGAAAGCCGGUCUCAGUUCGGAUUGGGGUCUGCAACUCGACCUCAUGAAGUCGGAGUCGCUAGUAAUCGCAGAUCAGCAACGCUGCGGUGAAUACGUUCCCGGG